UACGGGAGGCAGCAGUGGGGAAUAUUGCACAAUGGGGGAAACCCUGAUGCAGCGACGCCGCGUGAAGGAAGAAGUAUUUCGGUAUGUAAACUUCUAUCAGCAGGGAAGAAAAUGACGGUACCUGACUAAGAAGCCCCGGCUAACUACGUGCCAGCAGCCGCGGUAAUACGUAGGGGGCAAGCGUUAUCCGGAUUUACUGGGUGUAAAGGGAGCGUAGGCGGUCUGACAAGUCAGAAGUGAAAGCCCGGGGCUCAACUCCGGGACUGCUUUUGAAACUGCCGGACUAGAUUGCAGGAGAGGUAAGUGGAAUUCCUAGUGUAGCGG
rnacentral:rRNA from 1 species